rnacentral:lncRNA from 1 species
ACUGGACCAUGAACUCUUUGAGAAUUGUGGCUUUCCUCUGAUUAUCAUCUGAACCUAGAACAGUGUCUGAUACAAAGAAUUCAGCAUCAAGUGAAUAGAGAAGAUUCUAUGGAUGUAGAAGAGGUCCCUGGGUUUCCGAAUUGCCACUGGAUUGCCUCUAUCAAAUACACAAGAGUUUCAUGAGUGAGAAAUAACCUUCUGUUGCUUUAAAUCUUGGGUUGUGCAAUACAUCAGUGAGCCUACCAUGACUAAUACAUUCUAUGGAUGCAGAUUUCUCUUCUCUGGCCAUUGACAUGAGUGUGCUUUCUGGAUGCAGUCACAGGGGACCCAAGAUUCUUGGACAGAAUUCUCGCCGGGAGCCAACUCAGCCUGAUCUGCUGGCAUCUCUCAAGUAUCAGAAGUCAACAAAAUGGUUUGCCUUGAAGACUUGGCCAGAGCAGCAGCCAAAGUUCAUAAGGCUUUCGUAGAGAGAUUGUUUGUCUAAGAAAACAAAAUUCUAAGGGCUCCCAUUGUGCAGCUGGGGUGGCAAAAUGCAAACUAAUAUAAGGAAAAAAAAUGCUUUUCAUUUCCAUGGAAGAAAUGACCCAUCCUAUUGUUGAUAUUUCCUUUUCUGUGCUAACUUAUUCCAUUAAUUAGGCUCUCGUUUUAUGAGAUAAUUUCACUGCAUGCGUAUCUUCUUUUGGUUAUUACACAAGGACUGUUUUCUAUGGUUCAUAUCUAAGUCCAACCCUGGAAAAAUCUUUUUUUUUGAGACAGCCUUUUUUGUUUUGUUUUGAGACAAUACUCCCUCUGUUGCCCA